CAGCAGCCGCGGUAAUACAGAGGGUGCGAGCGUUAAUCGGAUUUACUGGGCGUAAAGCGUGCGUAGGCGGCUUCUUAAGUCGGAUGUGAAAUCCCUGAGCUUAACUUAGGAAUUGCAUUCGAUACUGGGAAGCUAGAGUAUGGGAGAGGAUGGUAGAAUUCCAGGUGUAGCCGUGAAAUGCGUAGAGAUCUGGAGGAAUACCGAUGGCGAAGGCAGCCAUCUGGCCUAAUACUGACGCUGAGGUACGAAAGCAUGGGGAGCAAACAGGAUUAGAUACCCCAGUAGUCCCUGUCUCUUAUAC
rnacentral:rRNA from 1 species